rnacentral:rRNA from 1 species
GACGAACGCUGGCGGCGUGCUUAACACAUGCAAGUCGAACGGAAAGGCCCUGCUUUUGUGGGGUGCUCGAGUGGCGAACGGGUGAGUAACACGUGAGUAACCCGCCCUUGACUUUGGGAUAACUUCAGGAGACUGGGGCUAAUACCGGAUAGGAGCUCCUGCUGCAUGGUGGGGGUUGGAAAGUUUCGGCGGUUGGGGAUGGACUCGCGGCUUAUCAGCUUGUUGGUGGGGUAGUGGCUUACCAAGGCUUUGACGGGUAGCCGGCCUGAGAGGGUGACCGGCCACAUUGGGACUGAGAUACGGCCCAGACUCCUACGGGAGGCAGCAGUGGGGAAUAUUGCACAAUGGGCGGAAGCCUGAUGCAGCAACGCCGCGUGCGGGAUGACGGCCUUCGGGUUGUAAACCGCUUUCGCCUGUGACGAAGCGUGAGUGACGGUAAUGGGUAAAGAAGCACCGGCUAACUACGUG